rnacentral:rRNA from 1 species
AUUGAACGCUGGCGGCAGGCUUAACACAUGCAAGUCGAGCGAGCGGCGGACGGGUGAGUAAUGUCUGGGAAACUGGCUGAUGGAGGGGGAUAACUACUGGAAACGGUAGCUAAUACCGCAUACCAUCAGAUGUGCCCAAGUGGGAUUAGGUAGUUGGUGGGGUAAUGGCUCACCAAGGCGACGAUCCCUAGCUGGUCUGAGAGGAUGACCAGCCACACUGGAACUGAGACACGGCCCAGACUCCUACGGGAGGCAGCAGUGGGGAAUAUUGCGCAAUGGGGGCAAGCCUGAUGCAGCCAUGCCGCGUGUGUGAAGAAGGCCUUCGGGUUGUAAAGCACUUUCAGCAACGAGGCGUUACUCACAGAAGAAGCACCGGCUAACUCCGUGCCAGCCGCCGCGGUAAUAC